UACGUAGGGGUGCAAGCGUUGUCCGGAAUUAUUGGGCGUAAAGAGCGUGUAGGCGGCCAACUAAGUCGGAUGUGAAAUCCCCAGGCUUAACCUGGGAACUGCAUCCGAUACUGGAUGGCUUGAAUCCGGGAGAGGGAUGCGGAAUUCCAGGUGUAGCGGUGAAAUGCGUAGAUAUCUGGAGGAACACCGGUGGCGAAGGCGGCAUCCUGGACCGGCAUUGACGCUGAGGAGCGAAAGCCGGGGAGCAAACGGGAU
rnacentral:rRNA from 1 species